GUUAGCUCCCCUACCCUCUCUGAUGGAGCUCAGUCUUAAUCUUAAGGCAUUUCCCUCAAAUUUCCUUUAAAUUUUUUAAAAAAUUUUAUAUUGGAGCAUAGUUGAUUGACAAUGUUGUGUUAGUGUCUGGUAUACAGUAAAGUGAUUCAGGUAAACAUAUAUAUUUACCGAUUUUUUUUUUCAAAUUCUGUUUCCAUUUAAUUUACUACAGAAUACUGAGCUGAGUUUCCUGUGCUAUAUAGUAGGUUCUUUUGGCAAUCUAUUUUAAAUAAAGCAGUGUGUACAUGUCAAUCCUAAACUCCCAGUCCAUCUCAUUUCCUUUUAAAAGACUUGUGUACCAUCAGCCUAAGGUAGCUCAGCUUCCUCAGUUGCCAAAGCCCUCAGCAGAUCAGCCUAGUUCUUGUCACCCUGUUCAGGGAUUUACUUGGGCCGAAAGUCAACACAACUCUCUUGUAAUAGAGCAGUGGUCUCUUACCUUGUUAUUCAAAGACUUGAGUCUCAAGAUCUGGGAAACUGUAAAGGAGUGGGAAGGAUCAACCUCUGGAAGGAAGGAAUGAGAGAAAUGUGCACGGUCAAACAAAAUUUUCUGUAGGUCUGUUGGUUUCUGAAUACUUUUUCUGGAGAUCACAUAGUUUAUCUUGAGAAAUGCUGUUAAAAUGUUGACUGCAAAGGAUGGUGCACGAUCUCACUGCUCCCUACACCUGCAGCACAGGCAUCACUUGGGAGUCUGUUAGGAAUGCAGUAUCUUGGGCUGCAGACCCACUGAAUUACAGUAUGAAUUUCAACAAGAUCCCCAGGCAAUUCAGGUGCACAGGAAACUUUGUGAAGAGCCCUGUGGUGAAGAGAUCCAUACAAGUCCCUCUUCAUUUUUAUCUCCUUUAUUCCUGGCAUUCAGAGUCACUGGCUAAGAGUCUAUUUCAGGACAAAGGGCAAUAAAGCCAGACCAGCCUUCUGAACCAGCCUGCCUUUCAGCAUCUGUGCUACAUAGAAUCUUCAGAUAUGAAGAUUGGGAUACUUGCGGAGGUAAGUGUUGAAGGAGUUUAACUGCUUUUGUAACAAAAUGAUUAUUUACUGAAGUAUUUCUGGACGCAGCUUAAGCAUCCUUGGUCCAUAUUAAAAUAAGUGGCAAGUCUUUGAAAAGACUGUCAUUAUAUGAUGGCUGUCAUUAUAGCAAGAAGCAACGGCACUAUGGGACACAGAACAGAAGUUAGUCACCUCAGAUAUAUGAGACAGGUAGAUGUGAUUAGGAAUAAAGGUUGUCAAACUCCUAACUGAUAAAUCUCAGUUAUCCUCCUGUGUGUACCUGGGUUGCCAUGGCUGCACCUUUGCUUGGCAAGUGUGUCCAAGUACUUUUUCUCCCUAAGCUGCUUUGCCUAUUGUGCUUGUCCACAAGGCUUGAACAGAACACAGAGAGAUAGCAAACAUGUAGUCUGUGUGGGUGUAUUUGUUCUUCUGUGCAAACAUGAUUGAGUUAUCUAGAAGAAACACAGCAGGAGUUGAUUUCAGGCAAAACACAGGGUGGUACAGUAUGGGGGAGAGAAGCCGUGUGAAGGUGGGGGCGUGGUGGCAGACACCAGGGCAUGCAAGCCCUCAAUCUGGGAAAGCACAGAGCGGUGAGGCGGAGGCUACAGUAGGAGGGCAGUCAGUCUCUCCCAUCAAGAAGCUUCCAUAAGCCUCUUAUCCUUACCCAUCAGAUGGCAGACAGACUGAAAAUCACAGUCACAGAAAACUAACCAAUCUGAUUACAUGGACCACAGCCUUGCCUAACUCAUGCCAUGUAGGGCCACCCAAGACGGACGGGUCACGGCGGAGAGUUCUGACAAAAAUCGUGUCCACAGGAGAAGAGAAUGGCAAACUGCUUCAGUAUUCUUGCCUUGAGAAUCCCAUGAACAGUAUGAAAAGGCAAAAGAUAGGACACUGAAAGAUGAACUCCCCAGGUCAGUAGGUGCCCAAAAUGCUACUGAAGAUCAGUGGAGAACUAACUCCAGAAAUGAAGAGAUGGAGCCAAAGCAAAACCAACACUCAAUUGUGGAUGUGACUAGUGAUGGAAGUAAAGUCUGCUGUAAAGAGCAAUAUUGCAUAGGAACCUGGAAUGUUAGGUCCAUGAAUCAAGACAAAUUGAAAGUGGUCAAACAGGAGAUGGCAAGAGUGAACAUUGACAUUUUAGGAAUUAGCGAACUAAAAUGGACAGGAAUGGGUGAAUUUAACUCAGAUGACAAUACAUCUACUAGUUUGGGCAAUAAUUCCUUAGAAGAAAUGGAGUAGCCAUCAUGGCCAACAAAAGAGUCCGAAAUGCAGUACUUGGAUGCAAUCUCAAAAACGACAGAAUGAUCUCUGUUCCUUUCCAAGACAAACCAUUCAGUAUCACAGUAAUCCAAGUCUAUGCCCCGAGCAGUAAUGCUGAAGAAGUGGAAGUUGAAUGGUUCUAUGAAGACCUCAAGAUAUUCUAGAACUAACACCCAAAACAGAUGCCCUUUUCAUUAUAGGGGACUGGAAUGCAAAAGUAGGAAGUCAAGAAAUACUUAGAGUAACAGGCAAAUUUGGCCUUGGAAUACAGAAUGAAGCAGGGCAAAGGCUAAUAGCGUUUUGCCAAGAGAAUGCACUGGUCAUAGCAAACACCCUCUUCCAACAAUACAAGAGAAGACUCUACACAUGGACAUCACCAGAUGGCCAAUACUGAAAUCAGACUGAUUACAUUCUUUGCAGCCAAAGAUGGAGAAGUUCUAUAUAGCCAGCAAAAACAAGACUGGGAGAUGACUGGCUCAGAUCAUGAACACCUUAUUGCCAAAUUCAGACUUAAAUUGCAGAAAAUAGGGAAAACACUAGACCUAAAUCAAAUCCCUAACGAUUAUCCAGUGGAAGUGACAAAUAGAUUCAAGGGAAUAGAUCUGAUAGACAGAGUGCCUGAAGAACUAUGGACAGAAGUUUGUGCCAUUGUACAGAAGACAGGGAUAAAGACCAUUUCCAAGAAAAAUAAAUGCAAAAAGGCAAAAUGGUUAUCUGAGGAGGCCUUGCAAAUAGUUAUGAAAAGAAAAGAAGUGAAAGGGAAAGGAGAAGAGGAAAGAUAUACCCACUUGAAUGCAGAGUUCAAAAGAAUAGCAAGGAGAGAUAAGAAAGACUUCCUCAGCGAUCAAUGCAAAGAAAUAGAGGAAAAUAACAGAAUGGGAAAGAGUAGAGAUCUCUCUUCAAGAAAAUUAGAGAUACCAAGGGAACAUUUCAUGCAAAGAUGGGCACAAUAAAGGACAGAAAUGCUAUGGACCUAACAGAAGCAGAAUAUAUUAAGAAGAGGUGGCAAGAAUACACAGAACAACUGUACAAAAGAAAGAUCUUC
ensembl:lncRNA